rnacentral:rRNA from 1 species
AGCAAUCUAUACCGUGAAACUGCGAAUGGCUCAUUAAAUCAGUUAUCGUUUAUUUGAUAGUACCUUACUACUUGGAUAACCGUGGUAAUUCUAGAGCUAAUACAUGCUAAAAGGCCCGACUUCGGAAGGGUCGUAUUUAUUAGAUAAAAAACCAAUGCCCUUCGGGGCUCCUUGGUGAUUCAUAAUAACUUAACGAAUCGCAUGGCCUUGUGCCGGCGAUGGUUCAUUCAAAUUUCUGCCCUAUCAACUUUCGAUGGUAGGAUAGUGGCCUACCAUGGUUUCAACGGGUAACGGGGAAUUAGGGUUCUAUUCCGGAGAGGGAGCCUGAGA